GUUCCCACGAGCGGCCAGUUCCUAAAUGCACGGGAGGCCGGGAGGGAUCCGUCGCUAAGCGGUUUCCUCACGCGGCCUAACAGAAACGCUGCGGGACAGACAGUGCCCGGGCAGAGUGGACACAGCAGAAUGGAAUUCAGCCCGGAUCUCCAGGGACACAGGAGUCAUCAUGACAGCGACGAGUUCUGGAAGGAAAGGCCUCCGAGCGUUAGCCAUCUGAGAAACUGGGGCCUGCUCUAGUCCUGCAUCAUUUGGGUUCUUGCCGGGACCAGAUGGACAGGGUGCCACACCCAGCUGGGCUCAAGGGAUUUAAGAUUAUUCCGGGCACUGUGCAACCAGUCAGUGAAAACCUGAUGGUUAGGAGUUCCAUGACGUGCACCUCAGAGCACCAGGAGCCACCAGGAUUACUCAAGAGUUUGUGGGAAUAAUAAUUUUUAAAAAAGUUUUUAAAGCUGAAGAUCAAUGUAAAACUAAUACGUUCACAACCGGCAGUUGUUUGGAGUUCAAGUGAUUCUAAGGACUAUAUAUUAAUUAAAAUGACAGUA